ACCGGCAGCGGUCAGAACACGAUUGGCGCGUGCAAAGAGGUGAAUCCGGAAGAGCGCGGCAACAAGCGAGCGGAAAGUUUUCGUUUAAAUAACACGGAAUACGUUCCUAAUACGACUGUACUGUUGGUAACUCCUGAGGAAGAAACUAUGGGAGCCUCAAUGCAGCAGGACUAAAGAUACAAGAGGACUUGAAUUGAAUCAAAGUCAUGAUUUCUUAUUUUCUACAUGUUUAACGUCAGCCUUCAGAAAAGAAUCUGAACACAAUAAAGUUCAUGUCCUGAAUAGACGAAGAGCUGACACAUCUACUGGAAAAGCUCACAAACUGUUAAAUUAACCUGGUAAAAGAACCGGUCUUCUGAUAAAUGGCCUUUAAUAUAAGACGAAGAAAAAGCAAGGAACAUCCACUGAUCUUCUUUUCUGAUCUGGAAACCCAUACACCUGCAAUUGUGCACCAGUCUUAUAACACAGAACCCAGAUCCGUUGGACAUGCACUUCGUAAAACAGGAGACCAUAUUGAGAUAAAGAAAGUGGACGUAAAAAAAACUAGACUUCUACUAUCUGCUGCUGCAGGUGUAGGACUAGUCUUCAUACUUGCAUCUGGACUAAAUGGAGGUUAUCCUUUUAAUGCAGAAUUCACCUUAACAGGUAUUAAUUCUGUAGGUGUUUUUAUGACAUACUGUAAAAAUAAUAUAUUUUUCAAAGACAAGUUAAACAAAUGACAAAUGAAUUUCUGUUGACCUUGAUGACCUAUGAAAAAUAUGAGAGAUUUGUAAAUCACUGUCACAACAUUCAAGUAAGGAUAAACAACAAAACUGGCAUCUAGUAAAAUCACUUGAUGUCUCUUUUUGCUGAAUUGUUGAAGGUGACGAACAGAUCAUAAUUAUUAUAAAUUAUAAUGUGGCUCUAGAUAUAUUUAUAAAAAUCCACAAGCAACUAAGAACCUUGGAGCAGACAGUAACAGACUGGACAAAGUGUCCAAUGUGGUGCCAGGUAUUUGGUUGGACCAAUGGGGUAGGCCCCGCUCCGCUCGUGUGGGGGUGGUGGACUGGGGGUGGGCCCCACUCUGGGCGCCGGGGCAUCUCCUGUCAGGCUCCCUACGGACCGUGGGUCCUCGGGCUCUACUCUUUCAGGCCGACCCUCCCGCCGGGGGGAGUGUUUGCCCCUGGUUCUCAUGGGGCGGACAGCGUUGACCCCCGGUGGCCCACUCUGACCUCGGGUGCUGUCUCUGUGGCUGCUGCAGCUCUGCCUGGGGGGCUCUGUGUGGGCGGCUUGGGUCGCAGCACCUGCCCUCCUGAACUGAAGGUGUGUGGGCUCCCUGGCUGCUGGGAUUCCUUCCUCUGCUUGCUGGAUGGGCGUAGUGGCGGAGCCCCUCACAUCACCCUGGCUUUCACAAGUGGCAUAGUUCAUGCACCAACGUCUGCCUCACCUUUGGGUGAAUAAUAUCAAGCUACAGCCUUACUAACCUUGUAGUGGGAGAUUCAACACCUUAGCUGAUAAACAGGCUUUAAACCCAACUGUAAGUAUUACUGGUACUUAUCACCACAAACAUCAAUAAUGUGUGAAUAUGGUAGCUGUGAUGUUGUAUGUCAUGGCUAUUAUAACGUAUUAUGAGAUUAUGUAUAACAAUGCAUAUGUGUAUGUAUAUGAUAUAUGUAUAUGUUUGUAUGAGUGUGUGUGCACAUACAUUAACAUUAUUAUUGGUAUUAGUAUUAAUCUCCAAGGUAAACCACAGUACAGCAGUUGUUUAGUUAUGAAUGUGUUAGCCUAAGGUUCAUCCCAGCUUAUGUAUUUUGCACCGAUUGCUUAACUGAUUUGCUUACACAUGGUUGUCAUGGUGCUGAAAUUAUAACAGCUACAACAAGAAUAAAUGUGUAAAUAAUCAAACUCUGUUAUAAUAAAUAAAGCUAUUUUCACUAACUGUGUUGUAAUCAUUAACAAGGUUUAAACCUUACUCUGGUUCUCAACAGCUUAAACAGAAAGUAGACUUUGUGUUUAAUGUUGCUGCACCUUUCCUUUUUUCUUUCUAGUUCUUUAAAAUAAAAAAGCUGUAAACCUCAA